rnacentral:rRNA from 1 species
GCCUACGGGCCAUACCACCCUGAGAACGCCCGAUCUCGUCUGAUCUCGGAAGCUAGCAGGGUCGGGCCCGGUUAGUACUUGGAUGGGAGACCGCCUGGGAAUACCGGGUGCUGUAGGCU